rnacentral:rRNA from 1 species
GAUGAACGCUGGCGGCGUGCCUAAUACAUGCAAGUCGAGCGAACGGACGAGAAGCUUGCUUUUCUGAUGUUAGCGGCGGACGGGUGAGUAACACGUGGAUAACCUACCUAUAAGACUGGGAUAACUUCGGGAAACCGGAGCUAAUACCGGAUAAUAUUUUGAACCGCAUGGUUCAAAAGUGAAAGACGGUCUUGCUGUCACUUAUAGAUGGAUCCGCGCUGCAUUAGCUAGUUGGUAAGGUAACGGCUUACCAAGGCAACGAUGCAUAGCCGACCUGAGAGGGUGGUCGGCCACACUGGAACUUAGACACGGUCCAGACUCCUACGGGAGGCAGCAGUAGGGAAUCUUCCGCAAGGGGCGAAAGCCUGACGGAGCAACUCCGCGGGAGUGAUGGAGGGCUUCGGAUCGUAAAACUCUGUUAUUAGGGAAAAACAUAUGUGUAAGUAACUGUGCACAUCUUGACGGUACCUAAUCAGAAAGCCACGGCUAACUACGUU